GAUGAACGCUGGCGGCGUGCCUAAUACAUGCAAGUCGAACGAGAUGUUUACAUCGAGUGGCGAACGGGUGAGUAAUACAUAAGUAACCUACCCUAAACUGGGGGAUAACUAUUGGAACGAUAGCUAACACCGCAUAGGUAUAGUGUACCCAUGUACAGUAUAUUAAAAUAGCUUUAUAGCAUUGGUAAAGGACGGACUUAUGGCGCAUUAGCUAGUUGGUAGGGUAAAGGCCUACCAAGGCGACGAUGCGUAGCCGACCUGAGAGGGUGACCGGCCACACUGGGGACUGAGACACGGCCCACGACUCCUACGGGAGGGCAGCAGUAGGGGAAUUUUCGGCAAUGGGGGGAAACCCUGACCGACGCAACGCCGCGUGAAGGAAGAAGGUCUUCGGAUUGUAAACUUCUGUUAUAAAGGAAGAACGAGAUAGGCAGGAAAUGGUCUAUCAGUGACGGUACUUUUAUGAGGAAGCCACGGCUAACUACGUGCCAGC
rnacentral:rRNA from 1 species